GACGAACGCUGGCGGCGUGCUUAACACAUGCAAGUCGAGCGGCGCGGCGAACGGGUGAGUAAGGCGUUAGUAACUGCCCCCCUCUCUGGGAUAACAGUUGGAAACGGCUGCUAAUACCGGAUAUUGGGGGAUGACUCGGGUCCUAUAAGCUUGUUGGUGGGGUAGUGUCCUAACAAGGCGACGACGGGUAGCCGGCCUGAGAGGGCGACCGGCCACAUUGGGCUGAGAUACGGCACAAACGCCUACGGGACGCAGCGGUGGGGAAUAUGGCACAAUGGUGGAAACCCUGAUGCAGCAACGCCGCGUGCGGGAUGACGGCCUUCGGGUUGUAAACCGCUUUCAGCCAUGACGCGGUAGUGGCAGAAGAAGCACCGGCUAACUACGUGCCAGCAGCCGCGGUAAUAC
rnacentral:rRNA from 1 species